rnacentral:rRNA from 1 species
CAAUAGCGUAUAUUUAAGUUGCUGCAGUUAAAAAGCUCGUAGCUGGAUUUCGGGUGGGAAUGGCCGGUCCGCCGUUUCGGUGUGCACUUGCUACGCCCACCUUGCUGCCGGGGACGUGCUCUUGAGUUCACGCUCGGGACACGGAGUCGGCGAGGUUACUUUGAGUAAAUUAGAGUGUUCAAAGCAGGCCUACGCUCUGAAUACAUUAGCAUGGAAUAACACGAUAGGACUCUGGCCUAUCUUGUUGGUCUGUAGGACCGGAGCAAUGAUUAAGAGGGACAGUCGGGGGCAUUCGUAUUUCAUUGUCAGAGGUGAAAUUCUUGGAUUUAUGAAAGACGAACUACUGCGAAAGCAUUUGCCAAGGAUGUUUUCAUUAA